rnacentral:tRNA from 1 species
CUUUGAAGGCUUUUAGUUUAGAUUAACCUAAACCUCUUUAUAUAAA